rnacentral:rRNA from 1 species
AGUGAACGCUGGCGGUAGGCCUAACACAUGCAAGUCGAACGGCAGCACAGUAAGAGCUUGCUCUUACGGGUGGCGAGUGGCGGACGGGUGAGGAAUACAUCGGAAUCUACUUUUUCGUGGGGGAUAACGUAGGGAAACUUACGCUAAUACCGCAUACGACCUACGGGUGAAACCAGGGGAUCUUCGGACCUUGCGCGAUUGAAUGAGCCGAUGUCGGAUUAGCUAGUUGGCGGGGUAAAGGCCCACCAAGGCGACGAUCCGUAGCUGGUCUGAGAGGAUGACCACCCACACUGGACCUGAGAACCGGUCCAGACUCUACGGGGAGGCACCAGGGGGGAAUUUGGGAAAAGGGGCGAAAGCCUGACCCAGCCAUACCGGGGGGGGGAAGAAGGCCUUCGGGUUGUAAAGCCCUUUUGUUGGGAAAAAAAAGAAGCAGGUUAAAACCCCGCUGUUCUGACGGUACCAAAAAAAAAAGCACCGGCUAAUUUCGU